CCGUCAUCCACUUCGGUACCCGGCUCGCAGUAGAGCGUCGUUCGUUGUGCGGUGCGGUCGUGGCGUUUCGUGAUCCGUCUCGAUGCAUCGUACGUUCGAUGUAUGUGUGUGACCGUGCACGCGUUUUCCUUUUCCUUUAGACUUGUACAUGUAUCAAAGUGUUUGUGAUAGUGCGAAAGGAUCGUUUUGUGUUCGGUUUUUCUUUCUCGCAGUGCUCCAAAGGUGGAUUAAAGACGUAUCCCGGGAAACUCCAAAAAUAAAAAAUAGUAUAGGAGUCAAGGCGGCGAGAGGUUCCAGAUGCUGAACGGCGAGGGAAGACCGCUGGCGUUUCUCCAAGAUCCUGAGAAUGUCACCGCAGAGAUCAGCCCAGGGAAUGGAUCAUGAAGUAACCGUGCACAAAGGCCACGUGUGAUUCUUUGCGAAGUAUUUAGCCACAAUUAAGAUGUACCCCGCGCCGGCGAGACACCCAGCCGCUGCCGAAUGGAAAGGGAGACCAA